rnacentral:rRNA from 1 species
GAUGAACGCUGGCGGCGUGCCUAAUACAUGCAAGUCGAGCGAAUGGAUUAAGAGCUUGCUCUUAUGAAGUUAGCGGCGGACGGGUGAGUAACACGUGGGUAACCUGCCCAUAAGACUGGGAUAACUCCGGGAAACCGGGGCUAAUACCGGAUAACAUUUUGAACCGCAUGGUUCGAAAUUGAAAGGCGGCUUCGGCUGUCACUUAUGGAUGGACCCGCGUCGCAUUAGCUAGUUGGUGAGGUAACGGCUCACCAAGGCAACGAUGCGUAGCCGACCUGAGAGGGUGAGCGGGCACACUGGGCCUGAGACACGGCCCAGACUCCUACGGGAGGCAGCAGUAGGGAAUCUUCCGCCAUGGACGAAAGUCUGACGGAGCAACGCCGCGUGAGUGAUGAAGGCUUUCGGGUCGUAAAACUCUGUUGUUAGGGAAGAACAAGUGCUAGUUGAAUAAGCUGGCACCUUGACGGUACCUAACCAGAAAGCCACGGCUAACUACGUGCCAGCCGCCGCGGUAA